rnacentral:rRNA from 1 species
UACAGAGGUCCCAAGCGUUGUUCGGAUUCAUUGGGCGUAAAGAGCGUGUAGGCGGCCAGAUAAGUCCGCUGUGAAAUCUCGAGGCUCAACUUCGAGCUGUCGGUGGAAACUAUCUGGCUAGAGUCCGGAAGAGGAGAAUGGAAUUCCUGGUGUAGCGGUGAAAUGCGCAGAUAUCAGGAAGAACACCCGUGGCGAAGGCGGUUCUCUGGGACGGUACUGACGCUGAGACGCGAAAGCGUGGGGAGCGAACAGG